rnacentral:tRNA from 1 species
AGGUCCGUAGCUCAACUGGCAGAGCAGCUGACUCUUAAUCAGCGGGUUCGGGGUUCGAGUCCCCGCGGACCUA